rnacentral:rRNA from 1 species
ACAUGGGGGGCGCAAGCGUUAUUCGGAAUUAUUGGGCGUAAAGGGCGUGUAGGCGGUUUUAUCGGUCAGAUGAGAAAGCCCAGGGCUCAACCCUGGACGUGCAUUUGAAACAGUAAGACUUGAGUACGGUAGAGGAAAGCGGAAUUCCUGGUGUAGAGGUGAAAUUCGUAGAUAUCAGGAGGAACACCGAUGGCGAAGGCAGCUUUCUGGACCGAAACUGACGCUGAUGCGCGAAGGCGUGGGUAGCGAACAGGAUUAGAAACCCGAGUAGUCC